rnacentral:rRNA from 1 species
AACGCUAGCUACAGGCUUAACACAUGCAAGUCGAGGGGCAGCAUGAACUUAGCUUGCUAAGUUUGAUGGCGACCGGCGCACGGGUGAGUAACACGUAUCCAGCCUGCCGAUGACUCGGGGAUAGCCUUUCGAAAGAAAGAUUAAUACCCGAUGGCAUAGUUCUUCCGCAUGGUAGAACUAUUAAAGAAUUUCGGUCAUCGAUGGGGAUGCGUUCYAUUAGGUUGUUGGCGGGGUAACGGCCCACCAAGCCUUCGAUGGAUAGGGGUUCUGAGAGGAAGGUCCCCCACAUUGGAACUGAGACACGGUCCAAACUCCUACGGGAGGCAGCAGUGAGGAAUAUUGGUCAAUGGACGAGAGUCUGAACCAGCCAAGUAGCGUGAAGGAUGACUGCCCUAUGGGUUGUAAACUUCUUUUAUACGGGAAUAAAGUGAGGCACGUGUGCCUUUUUGUAUGUACCGUAUGAAUAAGGAUCGGCUAACUCCGUGCCAGCAGCCGCGGUAAUACGGAGGAUCCGAGCGUUAUCCGGAUUUAUUGGGUUUAAAGGGAGCGUAGGCGGACGCUUAAGUCAGUUGUGAAAGUUUGCGGCUCAACCGUAAAAUUGCAGUUGAUACUGGCGACCUUGAGUGCAACAGAGGUAGGCGGAAUUCGUGGUGUAGCGGUGAAAUGCUUAAAUAUCACGAAGAACUCCGAUUG